rnacentral:lncRNA from 1 species
CCCGGCUGCUCUAGUGCCGCUGCCGCGGGCGAGCCGAGGCGGCCGCUGCGGACGCGGGGAGCUUUCGGGCAGCGCCCGGGAUUACGCGGGUCGCGCGGAGGUCCGCGGCGCUCGGCGGGCGCAGCUCGCGAGGGCUUUAAAAGUUGUUAUUAUUAAUACAAUGGUGUCUAUAAUCUCUGACUUGGAUCCUCUGAAAAGCUGGAAAGUUUUAAGUUCUCCCAUUGCACUGAAACUUUACAUACAGUGGACGGAUGCAGUAGUCUGUACUUGGUUACAGAGCUACUGAGCUGUGGGUUUCUAUGUGUGCUGGCUUCCUUGAGUAAAUAAUAAUGUCUGUCGCUGAAUCUCCACUCCUUUCCCCCACCACAUGUUGCAAGAUAAUUCAUCUCCGUUAUUCAGCAGCCUGUGGCCAUCCUCAACCAGCUCAAGAAAAUAAGCUUGUCUUCCACGCAGCUAAAGGCCUCCAAAGUUUACCUUUUCCAUCUUAAGUUUUCUGUAACUUAAGCAUAAUUAUUCUCCUGCUUCAGUGCUAAUAGAAGAACAUUUAAGUCCCCUUUUCUUUUUUCAUGAUGAUACCGAUACCGCUUUGGUUUGCGCAGCCUGGCCGCCACGGCUAUCUACAGCGUAYGUUGUAAAUGCCAGGUGUCAUGACUCUGUCCAGUGUCCCAAGGGCUGGGAAACUGCCUUGAAAGUUGUCAAAGCAGCCAAAGCCUUGCUCCUCGGACACGAUCUGUCACUAAAAAAAUCCUUUCAGCCAGAAGUUGCCUCUAGUAGCAAACUCACUACCUCUAUCUGACCAAUUUCUAUCAGUAGGAUGYGAGAAGAAGAACGUACAACACUGGGGAAAAUUACUUGCUGGUAAUUUUGUUGUUGCUGUUGUUCUCCUGUUCUUCACCCAGACUACUUUCCCUCUUUCUCGCCCAUCCGGGAUGUUGCUUGACAGAUGUUUCCUCCUUAUCUCGCUCUUUCUUUAUUGCUCUGCCAGGAGUAUCUGACUGCUAGCAAGCGGGCAGGCUAGUCCUUACAAUACCAGCUUUGGCUGAUAACUCUUUUGCCACCUUUUCGAAGAGUCUUUGCUCUGUUUUGACUGUUUUCUAACAGAUGGGCAAGAAAAAGAAAGUAGCAUAAAUUGCCUUGCAGUAAUUAUUGCUAUUCUUAUUUUACAUGGGGUUUUAUUAAAGCCUGAACUCUCCUGUCUGUAUGAUCUGAAUAAAUUUGAGCAAA